rnacentral:lncRNA from 1 species
AUUUUUGAGGAUUUGUGGCACUUGGGUACCUUUGCUUCCAGUACUUGGGGAAGGAUUUAACACUCUUGGAGCAGCAGCUCACGACUUUGGCACCUGGAGAGCACUCUGAGCUCUAAAUGUUUAAUUUGGAGGUUUCAAGAGCAGACUUAGCUGAGUAUUCUGAUGGGGCUGCAGCAGCACAGCCUCCUGUCUGUAACAUGGACAGUGCUCCCAGAAAGAGCAGCCCGGAUUCCCCCAAAGACAUCUGUGUCGAAUUGAUGAUGAGCUUGGCUGGCAUCUUAGAAAGAUCUUGAGCUGACAAGAUUAACCCUCAAAUGCCGUGGGAUGCAAAGGGCACGGCAUUUGAGAAGAGGGGCACACACACGACUUGGCAGCUGGAAAAAGCUGCCAGACUCAGCUAAAUGCAAGUCUUCUAUCCCGUGUGGUAAGCUCAAAACUGGGGGAGAGGAUGAAAUUACUUCUGUUGGCUUUCAGUGUGUUGUUUUUUUUCCCCUUUGUGGGUGUAUGUAUUUGCUAUGACAGUGACCUCUGUGGAGGCUCUAUCAGGAGUUAUGGACUGUGUCACAUCUUUCUGCACCGCAUCUUGGGAGAUCCUAAACAUCAUCUUAUGAGGGCCUUAGUGCUCCUCUUCCCAAUUGGAGAAAUUCUCCAUAGCAGACACUCGAUGCUAAUGCCGUAUUGUUGGAUACUGUGUGCAUCCAGAAAAUACACCAGCAUGCCCUUGAUGUUUUCCUGGAGAAAACCCAUUAACUGGAAUGGUGAGCAAACUGAAAGUGAAGGGAAAGCAGUUGGCUGCAUGUGGGACUGUGCAAACUGCUGCUACCUGGUGCCAGCCACGAGCAAAAUGGAAUGGAAGGAGCCACUCCUUGCAUGGCACGUGCUGUGGUCACUGCAGCAAGAUUUAUUUGUGCUGGAGGAAGAGCUGACCUUCAUAAACUGUAAACAGUCCUUGACAGAAAUAUGUACCUAUGGCCUUGUCAGCUCUCUGAGGUUUUGUCUGUGUUGUUCCCCUGGUGAAUGUGUUGGCAAACUUCCUCUAGCAGAGCCAGCAAAAUUUUGUCCUUCCUGGCCUCCUGGUCCAGCCCUGUCCGUCCCAGAGAGAGACUAAAGAGCCACCAGCCAAGAGAUGGUUGCUUUAUGGCUGGGUCUUUGGUGCAGUGAUGCCGGUUAGAAUUUGCAGGCCACUGUGUUUGGGUGGUUGUGUUCCCUGCAUGGGAAUGAGUUGAUGUAUGUCAUAACAGCACCGCUAAAAGGUCAUUGACUGUCUUGGUGAAUCCAGCUUCUGUUCCCAACGCAUGCAAGUAUUUGUAGAGCCAUGCCAAAAAAAAUGUGAUGUUCUGACCUUAAGUAGAUAACCUCUCUCUCCUUAAAGCAUACUUUUAGACCAUAUAAAGAUGUAGAUUGAGGCAAAGUUUUGAGUUUUGUCUGAUGAUAUUCCUGUGUCUUGGUGUGAGAAGAGCCCUUUGAACACAAAUGGAAACUGUGCAAAAUGUGUUUUGCUAGUAGGGUUAAUAGGGGCAUUACAAGCCACCAUGCUUUUCCUCAUUUGCUGGGAAUUAAUGUGUGCUCAAAAUGUUACAAGGGGUAAAAAUAGAUAUCUAAUAGUGGAUAAACACUGAGGUGGGUUUUUUUUUUUAAUUCCAAAAAAUGAGCAAUAAAUUUCCUAGAAAUAGUCACUGGAAAUGUGGAAUAAAUAAAUAAAAAAUUACUCUCUGUUAG